rnacentral:rRNA from 1 species
GGCGAACGCUGGCGGCGUGCCUAAUACAUGCAAGUUGAGCGCUGAAGGUUGGUACUUGUACCAACUGGAUGAGCAGCAAACGGGUGAGUAACGCGUGGGGAAUCUGCCUUUGAGCGGGGGACAACAUUUGGAAACGAAUGCUAAUACCGCAUAAAAACUUUAAACACAAGUUUUAAGUUUGAAAGAUGCAAUUGCAUCACUCAAAGAUGAUCCCGCGUUGUAUUAGCUAGUUGGUGAGGUAAAGGCUCACCAAGGCGAUGAUACAUAGCCGACCUGAGAGGGUGAUCGGCCACAUUGGGACUGAGACACGGCCCAAACUCCUACGGGAGGCAGCAGUAGGGAAUCUUCGGCAAUGGACGAAAGUCUGACCGAGCAACGCCGCGUGAGUGAAGAAGGUUUUCGGAUCGUAAAACUCUGUUGGUAGAGAAGAACGUUGGUGAGAGUGGAAAGCUCAUCAAGUGACGGUAACUACCCAGAAAGGGACGGCUAACUACGUG